rnacentral:misc_RNA from 1 species
UUUCCGUAGGUGAACCUGCGGAAGGAUCAUUACUGAGUGAGGGCCCCUCGGGGCCCACUCUCCCCCUACUGCUGUACGAACCUUGUUGACACGGCGGGGUCGCAUCACGGCCGGCGGGGGGCAUCUGCCCCCGGGCCCGCGCCCGCCGAGGCCACCUGCGAACGCUGUCUGAAGUAUGCAGUCUGAGACAAUUAUUAAAUUAAUAAAAACUUUCAACAACGGAUCUCUUGGUUCCG